rnacentral:rRNA from 1 species
GGCUCAGAACGAACGCUGGCGGCGUGCUUAACACAUGCAAGUCGAACGAACCUUCGGGUUAGUGGCGGACGGGUGAGUAACGCGUGAGAAUCUGCCCUCAGGAGGGGGAUAACGGUUGGAAACGACCGCUAAUACCCCAUAUGCCGAGAGGUGAAAAGAAAUUCGCCUGAGGAUGAGCUCGCGUCUGAUUAGCUAGUUGGUGUGGUAAUGGCGCACCAAGGCUUCGAUCAGUAGCUGGUCUGAGAGGAUGAUCAGCCACACUGGGACUGAGACACGGACCAGACUCCUACGGGAG